UCCUCGAUAGCUCAGUUGGUUAGAGCAUCUGACUGUUAAUCAGAGGGUCGUAGGUUCAAGUCCUACUCGAGGAG
rnacentral:tRNA from 1 species